rnacentral:rRNA from 1 species
CAGCCGCCAGCGGGAAUACAGAGGGUGCGAGCGUUAAUCGGAUUUACUGGGCGUAAAGCGUGCGUAGGCGGCUUCUUAAGUCGGAUGUGAAAUCCCUGAGCUUAACUUAGGAAUUGCAUUCGAUACUGGGAAGCUAGAGUAUGGGAGAGGAUGGUAGAAUUCCAGGUGUAGCGGUGAAAUGCGUAGAGAUCUGGAGGAAUACCGAUGGCGAAGGCAGCCAUCUGGCCUAAUACUGACGCUGAGGUACGAAAGCAUGGGGAGCAAACAGGAUUAGAUACCCGCGUAGUCCCUGUCUCUUAUA